GACGAACGCUGGCGGCGUGCCUAAUACAUGCAAGUAGAACGCACAGGAUGCACCGUAGUUUACUACACCGUAUUCUGUGAGUUGCGAACGGGUGAGUAACGCGUAGGUAACCUGCCUGGUAGCGGGGGAUAACUAUUGGAAACGAUAGCUAAUACCGCAUAAGAACAUUUACUGCAUGGUAGAUGUUUAAAAGGUGCAAAUGCAUCACUACCAGAUGGACCUGCGUUGUAUUAGCUAGUUGGUGAGGUAACGGCUCACCAAGGCAACGAUACAUAGCCGACCUGAGAGGGUGAUCGGCCACACUGGGACUGAGACACGGCCCAGGCUCCUACGGGAGGCAGCAGUAGGGAAUCUUCGGCAAUGGGGGGAACCCUGACCGAGCAACGCCGCGUGAGUGAAGAAGGUUUUCGGAUCGUAAAGCUCUGUUGUUAAGGAAGGACGUGUGUGAGAGUGGAAAGUUCACACAGUGACGGUACUUAACCAGAAGGGGACGGCUAACUACGUGCCAGCAGCCGCGGUAAUACGUAGGUCCCGAGCGUUGUCCGGAUUUAUUGGGCGUAAAGCGAGCGCAGGCGGUUAGAUAAGUCUGAAGUGAAAGGCAGUGGCUCAACCAUUGUAGGCUUUGGAAACUGUUUAACUUGAGUGCAGAAGGGGAGAGUGGAAUUCCAUGUGUAGCGGUGAAAUGCGUAGAUAUAUGGAGGAACACCGGUGGCGAAAGCGGCUCUCUGGUCUGUAACUGACGCUGAGGCUCGAAAGCGUGGGGAGCGAACAGG
rnacentral:rRNA from 1 species